UACAGAGGGGGCAAGCGUUGUUCGGAAUUACUGGGCGUAAAGGGCGCGUAGGCGGCCUUCUAAGUCGAACGUGAAAUCCCCGGGCUCAACCCGGGAACUGCGUCCGAUACUGGAAGGCUUGAAUCCGGGAGAGGGAUGCGGAAUUCCAGGUGUAGCGGUGAAAUGCGUAGAUAUCUGGAGGAACACCGGUGGCGAAGGCGGGUCUCUGGGCCGUAACUGACGCUGAGGAGCGAAAGCGUGGGGAGCGAACAGG
rnacentral:rRNA from 1 species